GACGAACGCUGGCGGCGUGCUUAACACAUGCAAGUCGAACGGAAAGGCCCUGCUUGCCGGGUACUCGAGUGGCGAACGGGUGAGUAACACGUGGGUGAUCUGCCCUGCACUUCGGGAUAAGCUUGGGAAACUGGGUCUAAUACCGGAUAGGAGCCAUCUUUAGUGUGGUGGUUGGAAAGUUUUUUCGGUGUAGGAUGAGCUCGCGGCCUACCAGCUUGUUGGUGGGGUAAUGGCCUACCAAGGCGGCGACGGGUAGCCGGCCUGAGAGGGUGUACGGCCACAUUGGGACUGAGAUACGGCCCAGACUCCUACGGGAGGCAGCAGUGGGGAAUAUUGCACAAUGGGCGCAAGCCUGAUGCAGCGACGCCGCGUGGGGGAUGAAGGCCUUCGGGUUGUAAACUCCUUUCGCUAGGGACGAAGCGUUUUUGUGACGGUACCUAGAUAAGAAGCACCGGCUAACUACGUG
rnacentral:rRNA from 1 species